rnacentral:rRNA from 1 species
AUUGAACGCUAGCGGGAUGCCUUACACAUGCAAGUCGAACGAGUGGCGAACGGGUGAGUAAUGUAUCGGAACGUGCCCAGUAGCGGGGGAUAACUACGCGAAACGUAGCUAAUACCGCAUACUAUUGGAGCGGCCGAUAUCUGAGUAGCCAGUUGGGGGGGUAACGGCGCACCAAGGCGACGAGCCGUAGCUGGUUUGAGCAGACGACCAGCCACACUGGGACUGCGCGACGGCCCAGACUCCUACGGGAGGCAGCAGUGGGGAAGUGUGGCCAAUGGGGGAAACCCUGAUCCAGCCAUCCCGCGUGUGCGAUGAAGGCCUUCGGGUUGUAAAGCACUUUUGGCAGGAGAGCGGUACCUGCAGAAUAAGCACCGGCUAACUACGUGCCAGCAGCCGCGGUAAUUC